rnacentral:rRNA from 1 species
AUUGAACGCUGGCGGCAGGCUUAACACAUGCAAGUCGAACGAGUGGCGGACGGGUGAGUAAUGUCUGGGAAACUGACUGAUGGAGGGGGAUAACUACUGGAAACGGUACCUAAUACCGCAUACCAUCGGAUGUGCCCAGAUGGGCUUAGUUAGUAGGUGGGGUAAAGGCUCACCUAGGCGACGAUCCCUAGCUGGUCUGAGAGGAUGACCAGCCACACUGGAACUGAGACACGGUCAAGACUCCUACGAGAGGCAGCAGUGGGGAAUAUUGCACAAUGGGCGCAAGCCUGAUGCAGCCAUGCCGCGUGAAUGAAGAAGGCCUUCGGGUUGUAAAGUACUUUCAGCGGGGAGGCGUUACCCGCAGAAGAAGCACCGGCUAACUCCGUGCCAGCAGCCGCGGUAAUAC